rnacentral:rRNA from 1 species
UACGUAGGGAGCAAGCGUUGUCCGGAAUCAUUGGGCGUAAAGCGCGCGUAGGUGGCCCCAUAAGUCCGCUGUGAAAGUCAAAGGCUCAACCUUUGAAAGCCGGUGGAUACUGUGGGACUAGAGUACGGAAGAGGCGAGUGGAAUUCCUGGUGUAGCGGUGGAAUGCGCAGAUAUCAGGAGGAACACCGGUGGCGAAGGCGGGUCUCUGGGCAACAACUGACGCUGAGGAGCGAAAGCGUGGGGAGCGAACAGG